rnacentral:misc_RNA from 1 species
GCCAUCUCCAUUUGAAUUUCAAAUUCCCCUCUCCUCCUCCUCCCUCACUCACCCACCGCGCACCCUGGCCAUUCAAUUUCUUCCCUCCUCUUCCCUUUCUUUUUUUCCCCAGCACCACCACCACCACCACCAGCAGCAGUAGCCAGGAUGGGGUGCGUGUCGUCCGCCUUGCUCGAGGAGGACGGCGCCGAGGACGACCGCCGCCGCAUCAUCUCGCACCACCACAUCGUCUCCCUCACCUCCUCCACCUACGGCAUCCUCACCAGCCCGCGAGCCUACUGCUCCUCCUCGUCGUCUUCCACUGCCCUUGGCUCAGAGCCGUUGGCUCGUUGCGCGCCUCCUCCUCCCCCUCCGCUGCCUCCCCCUCCACCGACGACGGCAAGACAACAAGCAGCCCCAGCACCGAAACCCGAAUCCCAGCCCCAGGCGGAGGUCAUCAACUCCUGGGAGCUCAUGGCAGGCCUCGUGGACCCCUCGACGCCGGGCAAGCCCACGAAGCUCGACGGCGGCGGCCAGCAGCGCCGCCGCCGCAUCCCUCUGCGCGCCAUCGACGGCAACUCUUCCGUCUCCAAGGCGCCGUCCUCGUCCGCGGUUGUGCUCUACACCACCUCCCUCCGCGGGGUCCGCGUCACCUUCGAGGCCUGCAACGCCGUCCGCGCGGCGCUGCAGGCGCACGGCGUCGCCUUCCGGGAGCGCGACGUGUCCAUGGACCGCGGGUUCAGGGACGAGCUGAGGAGCAGGCUGGGGCUGGGGCUGGGCGGCGGCAGAGCAGCAGCGGCGGGCAUGCUCCCCAGGCUGUUCGUGCGGGGCCGUCACGUGGGCGGCGCGGAGGACGUGCUGCGCCUGGACGAGGAGGGCCUCCUGGCGCGGCUGCUGGAGGGCCUGCCCAGGGCGCGCGGAGGGGCCUACUGCUGCGACGGAUGCGGCGGCAUGAGGUUCCUGCCCUGCUUCGACUGCUCGGGGAGCCGCAAGCUGGCUGUCGCGCUUCCCGUGGUGGCCUCCUCGCGGAAGAAAGCAGGGACCGUGGUGGUGCGAUGCGGGGAGUGCAACGAGAAUGGACUCGUGCUCUGCCCAAUCUGCUCCUGAAUAAAACGACGACAGAGGCAAUCUGGAUCGAAUUUGCUACAUAUGCGCUCCGUGCAAUUUUUAGAAACAUUUGCUGCGCUACUGCUACUGGUCUGAUUGAUGAUCAUCAUCAACAGGUAGUAAUAAUCAACAAGUACAUGAUCCUCAGCUGCAUGUCGUGAAGUCGCACAUGAGCCUUGUCCGCCCGCCGCCGCCCGCGUUGGCCCUGCGGAACCGCGCGCCCUCCAGGAGCACCCUCUGCCCGGAGCUGAGGAGCGCGCCGUUCAUGUGGUCCAUGACGCUGGCCGUGGUCGGGUACAGGAAGGGACCCCCGGGGGCGUUGUAGUAGGCGUUGAGCAGCGCCGCCGUGGCCUCCCGGAGCAGCGUGCGGUACAUGUCGCCGCGCCCCUCCAGCGCCUCCCCGAGCGUCAGCUCCGACCCGUACCGCUGCGCCGCCAGGGGCCCGAACGCCAUGGCCACCGUCGUGUUCGGGGUCACUACCUUCCAGUGGCAGCGGUGCUCCGGCGACGACCACAUGCUGCCAUGCCAUGCCAUGCAAUGCAAUGCAAAAUAGUCCCCAUCACCCCAUGGCAUGCAAAUGCAAAAACGAUGGACGGACGUACUCGUAGGUGCAGGCGGAGGAGCCCUGCGAUGCUGCCGUCGUUGGAGGCGGCGGCGGCGGCUGCAAUGUUUGUGGUAGUGGCUUUCGCCAGACGGGCGGCAGGAACCUUGACCUCCGGCGCCAGAAGAAGGGCGGCGAGGAAGAAGGCGAAGCCGGCGCCGGCGCCUGCGCCUGCGCCUGCGCCUGCGAAGAUGGCCUGCCCCGCCUGAACCUGUCGUGGUCGUGCCCCGGACAGAAGUCCAUGGCCUCCUCCGGUUGCGAGAGCAGCGGCGGCACGGUGUAGAGCGAGAGGCCCAGCAUGCGGAAGGCGAGGGUGAGCUCGCGCGGCACGGCGCCGCCACCUGAUGACGACGCGGCGCCGCAGUGGCCCGUCCCCUGGACGACGCGCGCCGUGCAGCGGUUCAUGUCCGGGGAGCCCUCCAUGCGGACGGAGAAGCCGCCGAACCAGUUGGUGUUGCUCUCCCGCACCGUCAGCGGGGUGUCGCCGCCGCCGCACUGGAUGGCCACGCGGGCGCCUGAUGCAUGCAUGCAUCAUCAAACACACACACGUCGACCUCGUGACCCAUCCAUCCAUCCAUCACAAGUUCAUUCAUUAGGUGCGAGGAUGCAACAGCAUGCAUGUACCUACCGUAGAGCGGGUAGUCGAAGAGUCCCCUGGCGCCGUCCUUGCACUGAUCGCAGAACACCAUGCCGGCCACCACCGUGCUGGCCAUGGCCGGCACCGCCACCGCGGCGAAUUCCAGCAGCAGCAGGGUCAGUAGUAGCCUGCUGGUGUUGAUGACCAUCAUAUGACGCGGCUCCUUCACCAUAUAUAUAAUAUAUGCAGCACAAGCAGAGCAGACGAUCGUUGUUGAUGCUUUGCCAGCAAAACUCAGAUGUGUAUAUAUAUAGAGAGAGAGAGAGCUGAACUAGCUAGCUCAAAGGUAUAGUAGUAAGUAGCUCGCUUUGCGUGACGCGGCCGAUUCGGCAACCA